UACGUAGGGUCCGAGCGUUGUCCGGAAUUAUUGGGCGUAAAGGGCUCGUAGGCGGUUUUGUCGCGUCGGGGAGUGAAAAACCUACAGCUUAACUGUGGGCUUGCUUUCGAUACGGGCAGACUUGAGGCAUGCAGGGGAGAACGGAAUUCCUGGUGUAGCGGUGAAAUGCGCAGAUAUCAGGAGGAACACCGGUGGCGAAGGCAGGUCUCUGGGCCGAUACUGACGCUGAGGAGCGAAAGCGUGGGGGAGCGAACAGG
rnacentral:rRNA from 1 species